rnacentral:lncRNA from 1 species
GGCUUUAGACUUCUGCGUUGAACAACACGGAAACUAACAGAUAUAAUUAAUGUCACGAGACAUAGAUUGGACUUAACCAACACAGUACGGCUAAGAGGGCAUUAACUUCGAUCUAUUAAUUUAAAAGUCUAGAAUAUGGCAGCAAGGACCUCUUGCCUACCACUUACCAGCCGAUUAAGCUAACAUAUCUAAUUAAUGUCAUGAGACGUAGAUUCGACUUAACCAAGACAGUACGGCUGAGAGGGUAUUAACUUUGACCCACUAACUUAACGGACUAGUAUGCAGCAGCAAGGCCUCGCAUGCUUGACCAUCGGCUUGAUGAUGUCAUCUUGCUACCAAGAGAUAUGGAUAAGACCCAUCCGAAGCAUCGGCUCUCAUCGUUAGUAUUUUGACGUUAAGGAUACAAAGGCUAGCGAUAUGAGAGGUAGGAGAAAAGAUCUAUCGAACCUAGCAUAUGCAAAGCAGAUAAAGUAUGCAAGAUCUAACAGCCGAUACAAUCAGAUAACUAGUGAAUGCUUAAACAUGGUCAAAAAGCUGAUAAAGACAACCUAACCAAAUCUAAACCGUUUGAUAACUGUGAGUGCUUGAUAAAACUAAGAGACUUAUAUGAUGCAGCUUAAUAAAAC